rnacentral:lncRNA from 1 species
UCACCCUAAGACUUUGUUCUACAUUUCUUUCCUAGGUAUUUCCCCUCCAAGGUCAGCCCCAUACUGCACUGGGCUCUGAAACUAACUAACCAUCCUGAGAAGAGAUACAGGAGAAGGAGAAAAACGUUAAUGGCCUGUGCAUCAGGAAAGUGCGUCCCCUGCCACCCACCUCAGAUUGUUUUGGUCAAUCUCUCCCAUCUGGGAAACCAAGAGCCUAGAUCUUGAAAGAGUAGAGCAAGUGGCUGGGACCCAAUUCGCAUUCUCCCCCUCUCGUCAAGCUGAAGGCACUCACUAUUUAUGGAUAAUCUGAUUUUCUAUACUGAGUAAAUACAGCUUUGUGGUCCAUCCCUAUUAUCCACUUUAGAGUGGAUACCAGUGUUAUUCCUUCUUUGAAAAGGGCUGGGGAUGUGGCUUAGUAGCGUGGUGCCUGCGUGGCAAAUGCAAGGCCUGGAGUUCAAUUCCCAGUACCAAAAAAUGUAUAUAAUAGUCAAUUGGGUUUUUUAACUCCCUUACUUCUUGUGAUAAAAGACACAGAUUCCUAGAGCUGC